rnacentral:rRNA from 1 species
UACGUAGGGGGCAAGCGUUGUUCGGAAUUACUGGGCGUAAAGGGCGCGUAGGCGGCACGGCAAGUCAGGAGUGAAAGCCCUGGGCUCAACCCGGGAACUGCUUUUGAAACUGCCCGAGCUAGAGUGCGGAAGGGGCAACUGGAAUUCCCAGUGUAGCGGUGAAAUGCGUAGAUAUUGGGAAGAACACCUGAGGCGAAGGCGGGUUGCUGGGCCGACACUGACGCUGAGGCGCGAAAGCCAGGGGAGCGAACGGG